rnacentral:rRNA from 1 species
CCUACGGGCUGCAGCAGUGGGGAAUAUUGCGCAAUGGGCGAAAGCCUGACGCAGCGACGCCGCGUGAGGGAUGAAGGUCUUCGGAUCGUAAACCUCUGUCAGCAGGGCAGAACGGUCACUGUGCUAAUCAGCAGUGAAUUGACGGUACCUGCAAAGGAAGCACCGGCUAACUCCGUGCCAGCAGCCGCGGUAAUACGGAGGGUGCGGGCGUUAAUCGGAAUUACGGGGCGUAAAGCGCUCGUAGGUGGUAUGUCAAGUCAAGGGUGAAAUCCCCGCGCUCAACGUGGGAACUGCCUUUGAAACUGGCAAACUGGAGUGUGUGAGAGGAUAGUGGAAUUCCAGGUGUAGGAGUGAAAUCCGUAGAUAUCUGGAGGAACAUCAGUGGCGAAGGCGACUAUCUGGCACAUAACUGACGCUGAGGAGCGAAAGCGUGGGUAGCAAACAGGAUUAGAUACCCCUGUAGGC